UUGGCGUAGUGGAUACUACCCCUGCCUUCUACGCCGAGGGUCGUGGGUUCGAUUCCCACCGACCCAAA